UACGUAGGGGGGCUAGCGUUGUCCGGAUUUAUUGGGCGUAAAGAGCGUGUAGGCGGCCUGACAGGUCUGCUGUGAAAACUCGAGGCUCAACCUCGAGAUGUCGGCGGAAACCGUCUGGCUAGAGUCCGGAAGAGGAGAGUGGAAUUCCUGGUGUAGCGGUGAAAUGCGCAGAUAUCAAGAGGAACACCUGCGGCGAAGGCGGGUUGCUGGGCCGACACUGACGCUGAUGCGCGAAAAGCCAGGGGGAGCGAACGGGG
rnacentral:rRNA from 1 species